rnacentral:rRNA from 2 species
UCCUAAUACAUGCAAGUCGAACGCACUCUCGUUAGAUUGAAGAAGCUUGCUUCUGAUUGAUAACAUUUGAGUGAGUGGCGGACGGGUGAGUAACACGUGGGUAACCUGCCCUAAAGUGGGGGAUAACAUUUGGAAACAGAUGCUAAUACCGCAUAAAACCUAGCACCGCAUGGUGCAAGGUUGAAAGAUGGUUUCGGCUAUCACUUUAGGAUGGACCCGCGGUGCAUUAGUUAGUUGGUGAGGUAAAGGCUCACCAAGACCGUGAUGCAUAGCCGACCUGAGAGGGUAAUCGGCCACACUGGGACUGAGACACGGCCCAGACUCCUACGGGAGGCAGCAGUAGGGAAUCUUCCACAAUGGACGAAAGUCUGAUGGAGCAACGCCGCGUGAGUGAAGAAGGUUUUCGGAUCGUAAAACUCUGUUGUUGGAGAAGAACGUAUUUGAUAGUAACUGAUCAGGUAGUGACGGUAUCCAACCAGAU